rnacentral:rRNA from 1 species
AACGAACGCUGGCGGCAUGCCUAACACAUGCAAGUCGAACGAGACCUUCGGGUCUAGUGGCGCACGGGUGCGUAACGCGUGGGAACCUGCCCUUAGGUUCGGAAUAACUCUCCGAAAGGGGUGCUAAUACCGGAUAAUGUCUUCGGACCAAAGAUUUAUCGCCUUUGGAUGGGCCCGCGUUGGAUUAGCUAGUUGGUAGGGUAAAAGCCUACCAAGGCGACGAUCCAUAGCUGGUCUGAGAGGAUGAUCAGCCACACUGGGACUGAGACACGGCCCAGACUCCUACGGGAGGCAGCAGAGGGGAAUAUUGGACAAUGGGCGAAAGCCUGAUCCAGCAAUGCCGCGUGAGUGAUGAAGGCCUUAGGGUUGUAAAGCUCUUUUACCCGGGAUGAUAAUGACAGUACCGGGAGAAUAAGCUCCGGCUAACUCCGUG